rnacentral:tRNA from 1 species
GGAGAGAUGGCUCAGUGGUUAAGAGCAUUGGCUCUUAAUCCAGAGAACCCGGGUUCAAUUCCCAGCACCC